UACAGAGGGGGCAAGCGUUGUUCGGAAUUACUGGGCGUAAAGGGCGCGUAGGCGGCCUGCUAAGUCGAACGUGAAAUCCCCGGGCUCAACCCGGGAACUGCGUCCGAUACUGGCAGGCUUGAAUCCGGGAGAGGGAUGUGGAAUUCCAGGUGUAGCGGUGAAAUGCGUAGAUAUCUGGAGGAACACCGGUGGCGAAGGCGGCAUCCUGGACCGGCAUUGACGCUGGGGCGCGAAAGCCAGGGGAGCAAACGGG
rnacentral:rRNA from 1 species